rnacentral:rRNA from 1 species
CCUACGGGAGGCAGCAGUGAGGAAUAUUGGUCAAUGGGAGAGAUCCUGAACCAGCCAAGCCGCGUGAGGGAAGACGGCCCUAUGGGUUGUAAACCUCUUUUGUCGGAGAACAAAACCCGGGACGUGUCCCGGACUGCGUGUAUCCGAAGAAAAAGCAUCGGCUAACUCCGUGCCAGCAGCCGCGGUAAUACGGAGGAUGCGAGCGUUAUCCGGAUUUAUUGGGUUUAAAGGGUGCGUAGACGGUUAUGUAAGUCUGGAGUGAAAGCCCGGGGCCCAACCCCGGGACUGCUUUGGAAACUGUGGAACUGGAGUACAGGAGGGGCAGGCGGAAUUCCUGGUGUAGCGGUGAAAUGCGUAGAUAUCAGGAGGAACACCGGCGGCGAAGGCGGCCUGCUGGACUGAAACUGACGUUGAGGCUCGAAAGCGUGGGGAGCAAACAGGAUUAGAUACCCUAGUAGUC